rfam:Triticum urartu cultivar G1812 contig724690, whole genome shotgun sequence.
CCGUGAAUUACAGGGCAAUUCUCCUUUGGCACCGGUAACGCAAGGCUGCAUGCAUGCAUGCUCUUUCUGGUGACCAUGCUGAUUAGCCCUAGCCCAGCUAGUGCCAAAGGAGAAUUGCCCUGCGAUUUUGCG